rnacentral:sRNA from 1 species
UUUCGUCUGUACAUAAAGAGGAUGAGAACCUCCGAAGGAGGUUUGAGCCGAGCGCAGCGAGACAACGUUGCUUCAGNGGGCGGCUCGCAGAGCCGUAAUCCUCUCUCGCCGACCA